rnacentral:rRNA from 1 species
AUUGAACGCUGGCGGCAGGCCUAACACAUGCAAGUCGAACGGUAACAGGAAGCAGCUUGCUGCUUUGCUGACGAGUGGCGGACGGGUGAGUAAUGUCUGGGAAACUGCCUGAUGGAGGGGGAUAACUACUGGAAACGGUAGCUAAUACCGCAUAACGUCGCAAGACCAAAGAGGGGGACUUUCGGGCCUCUUGCCAUCGGAUGUGCCCAGAUGGGAUUAGCUAGUAGGUGGGGUAACGGCUCACCUAGGCGACGAUCCCUAGCUGGUCUGAGAGGAUGACCAGCCACACUGGAACUGAGACACGGUCCAGACUCCUACGGGAGGCAGCAGUGGGGAAUAUUGCACAAUGGGCGCAAGCCUGAUGCAGCCAUGCCGCGUGUAUGAAGAAGGCCUUCGGGUUGGAAAGUACUUUCAGCGGGGAGGAAGGGAGUAAAGUUAAUACCUUUGCUCAUUGACGUUACCCGCAGAAGAAGCACCGGCUAACUCCGUG